CCUACGGGAGGCUGCAGUGAGGAAUAUUGGUCAAUGGCCGUAAGGCUGAACCAGCCAAGUCGCGUGAAGGAAGAAGGAUCUAUGGUUUGUAAACCUCUUUUAUAGGGGAAUAAAGGUAUACACGUGUGGAUAUUUGCAUGUAUCCUAUGAUUAAGCAUGGGCUAAUUCUGGGCCAGCAGCCGCGGUAAUACGGAGGAUGCGAGCGUUAACCGGAUUUAUUGGGGUUAAAGGGUGCGUAGGUUGUUUAUUAAGUCAGCGGUGAAAGUUUGUGGCUCAACCAUAAAAUUGCCGUUGAAACUGGAAGUCUUGAGUAUGUUUGAGGUAGGCGGAAUGCGUGGUGUAGCGGUGAAAUGCAUAGAUAUCACGCAGAACUCCGAUUGCGAAGGCAGCUUACUAAGCCAUAACUGACACUGAAGCACGAAAGCGUGGGGAUCAAACAGGAUUAGAUACCCUGGUAGUC
rnacentral:rRNA from 1 species